GCAUGGGAACCUCCAUAUGCCAUGGGUGUGGCCCUAAAAAGGAAAAAAAAAAAAAAAAAGGGAAAGAAGUACUUAGGAAUAGAUGUUGGUCUCUGUCAAGAUAGCAAACAAAUAUAACCCUCUGAUUCCCUUCCUAUAGGUGCUGCAAUUAAUAUUGAUGCCAAAACAUGAGUCUUAAUGCUAUAUCCUGAGAUACCCCUAAAAAAGAGAAGAUGGAGUUGAGUGAAGAGUGAUGUAGCUCCCAGAAGGAAGAAGGUCUAAAAGCCAAGGACGAGGAAAGACACUCAAACCAAAGAAGUCUAGGCCAGCAUAUGAAGACCCUUCCGGAAGAGCUCAGCCUCCUCUAGUCUUUCCCGCUCUCUGUUCGGGGUGAGCAGGAGGGAGGAGAGAAGAAAGCCCAGAAGUAAAGCCUGCAGCAGUCUUCCAGUUCUCGUAGGACAGAGACAAUAGAAGAAACUGUGCUGAGCCAUCAAACAGAAAAGAAAGGAGAAGGAAAGGAACGGAGAGGGAGCUGCAGUGUGACGCCUCCCGCGUGACUCCUACCUGGCAGAUGAAGCUGGUGGCUGACAGGCGCCUUCAGUCACAGCAGGUGUCUUCUUUGCCACAUUUCCAGUUCAGGUCUGACAGACUCAGGGCUGCGAACUCACAUGACUCCAGGAAAAGUUCACGGGUCUGUGUGAGUGUGGACGGUUCUCCCCAAAGCCUGGAUGCAGGAAUGGUCAGGUACGAGGUACAGCAGGAGAGGAUGGACCCAGCACCUCGGAACCAGCUUGAAAACACAGUCAUCAGUGACAAGAAUCGCCUAGACAAGGAGAUGGUUUUCCUUGAUGCAGUGUGACUCGGCUGGCCUCUGACUUCCUCGGAGAAGCCAGGAAGCAGAAACGACCAGGAAGAGUUACAAAGUGGAAGAAAGGAAGAAGCAGGAGGGCAGAAUCAUUGGACUAUUGGAUGAGGCACAAAGGGACCACUGAAAGGGGACGUGGAAGAUGACCGAAGGCAGUUUUCUGGCAAAGAUGAUGAGACGUCUCCCACAGGGAGAAGGGACUAGACAUUCGGGACGUGGAACCAGAUCUAGCCCAUGCUGGAAGGGACCAUGAAAGAUGCGAGGGGACUCACGAGGAUUUCCGAAGUAGCCACCAGGUAAUUCUCAAUCAAAUCCUACUUCAGAGGAAGAAUUUUGCCAAGCUGUGAAUAGCUGGCAAAAGUUACUUUUUAGCACGGC
rnacentral:lncRNA from 9 species